AUGACCAUUGAGUCAGUGAUGGUGUCUAACCAUCUCUCAUUGUUACUUAAUUCUCAUAAUUGCCUGAGGAAGUGGGCAUGGAGUUCCGCUUUCCAGAGGGGGAAACUGAAGUUUGUCCAGCUUGUCGGUGACUGCUUGGAUCAAACCCAGGUGCCCUGUUCUCAAACCAAGUGCCCCUCCUCUGUACCACCUGCUUCACUGCCAAAGCUGGUGGGUGUGGGCUCAUGGGCAGGGGCUCUCCCGGACUUCUUGGUGACAAGACCCAGACAGGAGUGGAGCGUGAGAAAGAAUCCAGGUCCUGGAGACAGUGCCUUGUGUUAUGGUGGAAGUGACGCUCCCUGGAGCCAGCCUUGCCCCGUUCGGGUGCCCCGUCCCAGACCAUCAGCAUGUACCCUUCUGACCGUGAUUUUCAAACGAAUAAACCGUUCAGCUGCUCCGGAAAUCUGUAGAGCCUCCGUUUCCCGCUCUGUAAGGUGGAAGCAACACUGUCACCUUGCCCACCUCUCAGCCUGGCCACCGCGGGCUCAUCUCUCAGGUCUCAGCGCUCACUCACUCCAUCAUCCCUUUCACGAGCUCUGUGAGUCAGGCUCCCCCAGACACCAAGUCUGGGGCUUCUUUCUGGGGCUUCCCCCUUGGGGGGGGGGGGGGGGGGGGGAACAAGGCUGUGUGGGGCAGAGUGAGAAGAAGCAAGCAGAAAACAGGGAGACCUGUAUUCUGGGCGAGGGGUGAUGGAGGCCUGGGCUGGGGGUUGCGGGACGGGUCCAGGGAUCAGCCGUGGGGGCGGCAGGGAGACAGGCACAGCACCAGGGCUUCCAGUCUGAACAUCUGGGGCGUGGUGCUACUUGUUGGGAUGAUGUUAGCUGCUGGGGACUAAGGAGCGCUGUCCCCGACAAGGUGGGUGCGGAUGCCCGUGGGCACUUGCACGGAGAAGAUGUGAUCUGGAGCGCGGGGAGCGCUCAGGGCAGCCACACUAGGUGGGGUUGUAAUCCCUAGAGCGUAGCAGUCAUGGAAGAGUAUAGACAGAUGAGGGGAGCUCUGAGGAAGGGGCCUGGGACGUGCCGACAUACAGAGGCCACAGAAAUGUGGGUGACCUAGCACACGGCUCCCCUGGGGAGUCCAGAACCAAGGAUGGAGUGCGCCAUGGAGGAGGGAGACCUGCUGUGUCUGAAGCCCUGCAAGGAUAAGGACAGACCAACAUCGGAGGCUGCCUGCUCCGGGAAGCCCACCUCGCCCUCACGCUGAGUGGGAGCCCUUGAACCCGCUUUCAGGACAGGACUCAUCUUCCUCUUCUGAGUCGGUAGCUCCCAGCUUUGAUGCGUUUAUCAGAUGUGCUCCUGGGGUCCUCUGUCCCUUUUCCUCCUUGGCCUCCGAGGCGGGCCGGGUAGCCUGUAUCUGGCCGGGGACCCUGCUGCGUGCUUUGUUCCUGUACUCAGCUCAGGGUUCAAACCGUGCGGGCCAUCCAGUUCUGGGGCAGCGUCUACAGGGUCCACAUCCGGAUUUAGACGCAGCUCCAGGGAACUCUGGGGAAUUCUUCGGCGGCACAAACCCCGCGGCAGCUCUCCCCUUCAAGGCUGGGCUCUCACCCCAGUGCCCCAAGGGCACGGACGACAGCAAGAGGUGCCCUGCACUGUGCUCCCACGGGGCCAGGCACCCACUGGCAUCUGACCAAUGAGGUCUCGCCCACCUUUUCAGAUGGAGAAGGGGAUCUGUCCUUAACCCCAUUUCUGGAGGAGAAAACUGAGGCUCAGAGAGGGUGGAAACUUGACAAGAGGGCAGGGGGUGCCUCUGUCUUGCUUUCCACUAGGUCUGGCACUUAGGCCAGAGCCUGGCACACACUAGACACUCAGCAGCUGUUCCUGGGAAGGAGGGGAGGGAAGGCGGAAGGGUGCGGGGAAGGAGGUAGUGACCUCCUUCGUGACUUCCUACUCUGCCCCAUGGCCUCCCUGGCUUCACUGGACACUGAGAUCCAAUCAUUAAAAUCCUUUUUUUUUUUUUUUUCUGCAGAGCAAGGGCUGAAGUAGGUCAAGUUCUUGCCCGGACACAGCUCGGGCCUCAUCCCGCCCGUGGAAGACACCUGUGUGUGUCACACAGCUGUGCCCGGGCUGGGGGUCCGCAGGCGGGGGUGAGUCCCUUGGCACUCUUGCCUCAGAUUACUGUGUCCUGCACCCAGGCGGCCCCCCGGGGGCUGCUCCUGAGGACAGACUCAGAGCCUUCCCACCUGUCCCUGUCCUUGGAAGAGCCGCAGGGGGGAAGAAACCUCACUGUUCAGAGCUGUAGAGUGGGAAGAAGUAACGGAGGUCAACUGACCAGAGCACGCAGGGGAGGGUGCCCAGCACCCAGCGGCCCUGAGGAAACCUUCCUUCCUUCCUUCGGGGUUGCCAGGGAUCCAGAGAAUAUGGGUUUCCCCGGUGGUGCUAGUGGAAAAGGAAGCUGCCUGCCAACACAGGAGACAUAAGAGAUGCAGGUUUGAUCCCUGGGUCGAAUCUGGUCGGAAAGAUCCCCUGGAGGAAGGCAUGGCAACCCACUCCAGUGUUCUUGCCUGGAGAAUCCCCAUGGACAGAGGAGCCUGGUGGGCCACAGUCCAUAGGGUCGCACAGAGUUGAACAUGAGAUGGAAACGCCUUAGCACGCACACACAGAAAAUAUGAGAUAAGGUUUUGGAAACUUAGAGAGCUAGAAAUGGUACAAAUGCAGGCCUGCACCUUCCAUCAGACACUCGAAGGAACCUGAGCCCCGGAAAAGACUCAAGAGUCCUGAUCUCCCGCAACAAGAUCAAAAAGGAUCUGGUGGCCGUGGGGGUGGAGGUGAGGCGAGGCAGGGGUCCUGGGGGCAAAUGGCCCCAAGAAGCACCUAUUCCAAACACCCUGCUUGGGAGGGGCUGUCCCUAAGCCACAGUGAGUGGGGUGGGGGCGGGGUUGCCCUGGCUCCUCAUCCCCUACCUUCUUCCAGAGAAGCAGGGCCGUGGCCAGGAUGCUCAGGACGGCCAGGAUGCCGACGAAGCAGAAGAGCAGGAGCUUCUGGGGGCUCUGGGGGGGCUCCUGGUACCCUGUGUCUGGGUGAGGGCAGGGAAGCAGAGGUCAGCUGUCUGGAGAGGCACACCCCACCCCCAGCCCUCCUUACAACUCUCCCCGACUAGGACCCCCGGACCCCACCUCUGCUGAGGUCCUCCACCACCCCACACUCGCCUUGGCCGAGCCCCUUAAUGCGUUCGCUGCCUUGAUUUUUGGCAAGGGCAAGGACCACAUCCUUUGCUCCUUAGGUGCCCCUGCCUCAAGGCCUGGCUCCACCAAAAGGCGCUUCCGGGGCCUGGGCGAGCCACGUCACCUCCUGGGGUCUCCUCCUUUCCACCUGUGAUGUCGUGCUCACACGGGCAGGAGCAGUGAGGUGAAGCAGGGGUUGGGCAGAGUCUGUACCAGGCCUGGCAGGUGCUGCCCUGCGCCAGGGGUGGGCGAGGGCACAGUCCAGCCAUUUCCCUUGAGCCACCCAUCCCUUCAUCCACCUCUUCUCCCUCUAUCCCUCCAUCCAUAUGGUGGACCAAAAAACGGCGGAGUGCCAACCAACAUGGCAGGCACAUGUGUGUCCUCCUGCCACCAGGCCCCAGCCCUUGCAUUCAGGAUCCCUCUCAUCCCAAGGAAAGCCUCUGACAGGCAGGGUGUCGCCAUGAAGAGCAAGUCCAAGGCCACAUCCUGGCAAACCGCAGGAUGGGGGUGCCAAGCCCAGGUCCCUGGCCUUCUGAAACCCUGGCACGACCAGUGGGAAUGGCAGAGUUGGGUCAGAGGGUCAUGACUUCGGUGAUGGGCUGUUCUUAUUAACUUCUGGGAGUCAUUACUCACUCCUCUGAGAAUGUGAUGAAAACUAGGAAUCUGACCCCAGAAAGAUGUCCACGAGCUGCGUGCAUGCUCACAGGUCUCCACAAACACACACGGGCCCCGGGCUCCAUUCUGCACUCACAUGACCCAUGGUGCGAAAGGGACCCCGAGGACAAGGGCCUGCCAGAGGUGGCCAGAGCCGAUCCAUACCCCAGACUCUGCCCUUUCCACACGAAGGUGGGCAUCUCGGCACACCUGUGUGGCCAGGGGCUUCCGGAGGUGGCUCAGCUCUGUUGUGCCAAAGCUGAGCGGGGAGGCAAACACUCCCCACUUUUGCUCCUGUGCCCCCAAGUCCUGCCGGAUCAUGUGCCCAGAGAAGAGCUGCAGAGGAAGCUCACCUCUGACCAGGAUGAACGUGCCCUUGCCUGUCAUCCUGGUGUCC
rnacentral:lncRNA from 1 species